UACGGGGGGGGCAAGCGUUGUUCGGAAUUACUGGGCGUAAAGGGCUCGUAGGUGGCCAACUAAGUCGGACGUGAAAUCCCUCGGCUUAACCGGGGAACUGCGUCCGAUACUGGUUGGCUUGAGUUUGGGAGAGGGAUGCGGAAUUCCAGGUGUAGCGGUGAAAUGCGUAGAUAUCGGGAGGAACACCGGUGGCGAAGGCGGUUCUCUGGGCCUUACCUGACGCUGAGGAGCGAAAGCGUGGGGAGCGAACAGG
rnacentral:rRNA from 1 species